rnacentral:rRNA from 1 species
CCUGUAGGUUGUUUAUUAAGUCCGUUGUUAAAGCCUAGGGCUUAACCCUAGAAAAGCAAUGGAAACUAGUAGACUAGAGUAUGGCAGGGGUAGAGGGAAUUUCUAGUGUAGCGGUGAAAUGCGUAGAUAUUAGAAAGAACACCGGUGGCGAAAGCGCUCUACUGGACCAUUACUGACACUCAGAGGCGAAAGCUAGGGUAGCAAAAG